GUGGGGAAUAUUGCACAAUGGGCGAAAGCCUGAUGCAGCAACGCCGCGUGAGCGAUGAAGGUCUUCGGAUCGUAAAGCUCUGUCCUCAAGGAAGAAUUUUGACGGUACUUGAGGAGGAAGCCCCGGCUAACUACGUGCCAGCAGCCGCGGUAAUACGUAGGGGGCUAGCGUUAUCCGGAAUUAUUGGGCGUAAAGGGUGCGUAGGCGGUCCUACAAGUCAGAGGUGAAAGGCUACGGCUCAACCGUAGUAAGCCUUUGAAACUGUAGGACUUGAGUGCAGGAGAGGAGAGUGGAAUUCCCAGUGUAGCGGUGAAAUGCGUAGAUAUUGGGAGGAACACCAGUUGCGAAGGCGGCUCUCUGGACUGUAACUGACGCUGAGGCACGAAAGCGUGGGGAGCGAACAGGAUUAGAAACCCGAGUAGUCC
rnacentral:rRNA from 1 species